UACGAAGGGGGCUAGCGUUGCUCGGAAUUACUGGGCGUAAAGGGAGCGUAGGCGGAUAGUUUAGUCAGAGGUGAAAGCCCAGGGCUCAACCCUGGAAUUGCCUUUGAUACUGGCUAUCUUGAGUGUGGGAGAGGUUAGCGGAACUCCGAGUGUAGAGGUGAAAUUCGUAGAUAUUCGCAAGAACACCAGUGGCGAAGGCGGCUCACUGGCCCGGUACUGACGCUGAGGUGCGAAAGCGUGGGGAGCAAACAGGG
rnacentral:rRNA from 1 species